rnacentral:rRNA from 1 species
AUACGGAGGAUCCGAGCGUUAUCCGGAUUUAUUGGGUUUAAAGGGGGCGCAGGCGGCCAUUUAAGUCAGCGGUUAAAUCGUGGGGCUCAACCCCAUUCUGCCGUUGAUACUGGGUGGCUUGAUUGCGGUCGAGGUUGGCGGAAUUCGUUGUGUAGCGGUGAAAUGCAUAGAUAUGACGAAGAACACCGAUUGCGUAGGCAGCUGACCAGACCGCAAAUGACGCUCAUGCACGAAAGUGCGGGGAUCGAACAGGAUUAGAUACCCUGGUAGUCCACACAGUAAACGAUGAAUACUUGUUUUCGGCGAUAUAAUGUCGGAGGCAAAGCGAAAGCGAUAAGUAUUCCACCUGGGGAGUACGCCGGCAACGGUGAAACUCAAAGGAAUUGACGGGG